rnacentral:rRNA from 1 species
CAAAAACAUGGUUUUUUGAUUAUAAUUUAAAAUUAGUUCUGCACACUGACUGAUUAUUUAAAGAGCUGCAGUAUUCUGACUGUGCAAAGGUAGCAAAAUCAUUUGUUUAAUAAUUUUAAACUGGAAUGAAAGAGCUGAUGAGAUAUUAACUGUCUCUGAAUAAUAAAUUGAAAUUAGAAUUUAGGUUAAAAUUCUUAGAUUUAAUUAUUAGACGAGAAGACCCUAUAGAAUUUUAUUAAAUAAAUUUUUUUACUUGUUUUGUUUCUCAAGUGAAUGGGUUAAUUUUUAAUUUAGUUGGGAGGAUUAUUAAAUUUAAUUAACUUUAAUAUUAUUAAAUUAUCAAUGGUUUUUGAUUUGUUUGAGUUUAUAAAAAUUAAUAGAUUAAAUUACCUUAGGGAUAACAGCGUAAUGCUUUUGGAGAGGUCAUAUUGAUAAAAGUGUUUGCGACCUCGAUGUUGAAUUAAGAUAAAAAUUGAAUGUAGAAGUUUAAUAUUUGGGUCUGUUCGACCUUUAAAAUCUUACGUGAUCUGAGUUC